AGCGAACGUUUGCGGCGGGCUUAACACAUGCAAGUCGAACGAGAAUCCCUUCGGGGAGGAAAGUGGCGCACGGGUGCGUAACACGUGGAUAACCAACCCAUUGGUUUGGGACAACACCGGGAAACUGGUGCUAAUACCAGAUGUGUCGCAGCUGUCUUCAGGCGGUUGCGAGAAAGGCCCGCAAGGGUCGCCAACGGACGGGUCCGCGUCCCAUCAGCUAGUUGGUGAGGUAAUGGCUCACCAAGGCAAAGACGGGUAGCUGGUCUGAGAGGAUGAUCAGCCACACUGGAACUGAGACACGGUCCAGACUCCUACGGGAGGCAGCAGUGGGGAAGUAUUGCGCAAUGGGCGAAAGCCUGACGCAGCCACGCCGCGUGAGCGAUGAAGGUCUUCGGAUCGUAAAGCUCUGUGGGGGGAGAAGAAGAAAGCCGGUGAAGAGCCGGCCCUGACGGUAUCCCCUUAGCAAGCACCGGCUAACUCCGUGCCAGCAGCCGCGGUAAAGUCG
rnacentral:rRNA from 1 species